rnacentral:rRNA from 1 species
UCGGUUAUAAGAUCCCUCAAAGAUGAUGAGGUUAAUAGGUUCGAGGUGGAAGCAUGGUGACAUGUGGAGCUGACGAAUACUAAUCGAUCGAAGACUUAAUCAAAUU